AUCGAUUGUGAAUAGUUACCUUCAGUGCUGGCCUUGGUGCAUGUGCACGUUGGUGACUUUCAUCCACACACUUGUGCACCUUUGGCCUCAUGCUGGCUUCGGCUGGCAGAGGAUUUUACACACACUAAAAUGUAAUGAUAAACUGUUGUGUGCAUAUGCACUACUAUAUACAACUUUCAACAACGGAUCUCUUGGCUCUCGCAUCGAUGAAGAACACAGCGAAAUGUGAUAAGUAAUGUGAAUUGCAGAAUUCAGUGAAUCAUCGAAUCUUUGAACGCACCUUGCACCCUUUGGUAUUCCAAAGGGUAUGCUCGUUUGAGUGUCAUUGUACUCUCAUACUCUCUGAUCUUAGGAUUGGGAGUGGUGGACUUGGGUGUUGCUGCUUCACUGUGGCUCACCUGAAAUGCAUUAGUGCAACUGUUGACUAACCAUAGUAUGGCAUGAUAAGCAUCUUUGCCAGCACCUCUCCGGAGGGUGGUCAGUCAAGAGCUCUGUGCUUCUAACUGUCUUUGGACAAUGUUGACAACUUGACCUCAAAUCGAGUAGGACUACCCGCUGAACUU
rnacentral:sRNA from 1 species